CAUCCACACGAGGGGGAAAAAAAGGCCAAAUAAAACUUGUAAAUACAAUAUGUAAGGUAACAUUGCAGAUUAAUCAUUUAUGCAACAAGAACUGAGAUCGAGUCAUUACAUUCGACGGCCUACAUUUAUGCAACAAGAACCAGAGCCCUCUCAAAGAUAAAAAAAA